GGCUACCUACGGGAGGCAGCAGUGGGGGAUAUUGCACAAUGGGGGGAACCCUGAUGCAGCGACGCCGCGUGGGUGAAGAAGUAUUUCGGUAUGUAAAGCCCUAUCGGCAGGGAAGAAAUUGGACGGUACCUGACUAAGAAGCCCUGGCUAACUACGUGCCAGCAGCCGCGGUAAUACGUAGGGGGCAAGCGUUAUCCGGAUUCACUGGGUGUAAAGGGAGCGCAGGCGGCACGGCAAGCCUGAUGUGAAAGCCCGCGGCCCAACCGCGGGACUGCAUUGGGAACUACCGGGCUGGAGUGCCGGAG
rnacentral:rRNA from 1 species